GGAGACAAAAAAAGACCUGCUUUUUUUCUAGGCUUAAAACUAGAGAAAGAACUCCGUUUCCGCUCCAUCUCGGGUAUUUUCAAGCUAACACAUACAAGCAGCUACCAAUUCAAAGUGCUGCAAAGUACCUCCUGCGCGGGAACUCGGCAGGGCGGAGCCUCUGGUCGCUCCCUUCCCGAGGGCGGGACAGAGCAGAACCGGGGCCGCGUUUUCUCUGGAAGGUUCCGAAAGGCGCGCGCCCCCUCCGCUGGCGGCGAGACACUCGGCACCAGAUGGCGCUGCCGCACCGAGAGCCGGAGCCUGGGCGGCAGGACAGAAGGGAAGAGGCGUCACCGGAUCCUUUCUGUCGCCGGAAAUGCGCGCUGCCGGCGGCCUCGGGUCCCGGAUAUUAAGAUUUCUGGAGGGUUCCCGCGUGAGGGCGGGACUAGAACCGGAACCGAACAGCGACCGUCGGGCCUCGGGGCGGAAGCCCGGGGCGGCGCCAGCGGGGGGCUGGUUUCUGGUGCGCGCGCCUCGCUGGGGGCGCGAGGGGGCGGGACCUCGCUCGCACUUGCGCGUUUUGGGGACGUAGGCGCUGCCGGGACGUGCGUCUUUCUCCAUCUUUGCACGUUUGUUGGCCCGGCAAGGCGGAAAUGGUGGCGUAGUAGGUUUUUUGUGUUUUUUUUUUUUCCCCCCCUCCAUCCCCUCCCGCCCACAGGGUUGGGGUUUCUGGCUGUGAGUGAGGUUUCUGGAAAUCUCUGUGGAAAGUUAAUGGUAUCUCUCCUCUACAGGGCUAAGAGGAGUCCCAGGCUUGAUAACACGCUGAACAAAGACCUGUCAUGGAACAGACUCUUGCUGAGAUUUAAACUGGAGAGUUUGUGGAUGUGGAGCUGGGCCAGGAUACACAGAGAAAUGUGGGGGAAGAGGGAAGUCACUGAGAAGAAUCAAGAGAUCUUGGUGCUGCUCUCAUUUGCUGUGUGAUGCUGAUCAAGCAACAUAUUGUCUUUAGGAAUCCUGUUAUAAAAUUUGUCCAACAGAACCUACCUCGCAGAAUUACAGAGAAGAAAAAGAAGAGAGUUCUAUAAACCUGAAGAGCGAUCUUUUCAAAAAAUCAUCAGAAGGAAGGAAUUUGUAGAAAUAAAACUGGAAACAUCCAGAAUCUUGAUGGUGUGCCAAACCAAAUGUCAACUGGAGCUCGACCAAAAACUAAAGUAAGUAGCUUUCUUACAGAAUAUUCCGGGUGGAGUGCCAUGCCCCACUCAUGCCAUGAAGAGAGUGCCACAUUUGCACAUUCUCUUUUACUUUUUGUGUUUUAAAUUAAACGUUAACGUUGUCCUGUUUUUCAUUAUAUCAUGAUUUGUAAUGAAAAACAUACAGUUAAUAUUUAUAAAAUUGGGAAAAAAGGAGGGUGUGACUUUGUUAAGAUAAAAUGAUUAGUCUUUUGUGAUGAGUAGAGUCAUUAGCAGUGGAUUGUAUGCACUUCAAUUAGUUUCUUCACUAUGGGUGAAAAUUCCUGCCAAAGCUGAAGAUCUCCUUGAACUAUUAUUACAAAAGUCUUCCUAUUAUGACAGUAUACACCUCAGUGAUCAGGGUUCCAGAAAAGAGGUGUCAGAUUGGGGACUAUACCUGCAAAACAUUAGCUCUAAACAUUAUAUGUACUUUGUUUAAAAGGUCUACCAAGAUAAAUAAUACCCAGGAAUUUGUGUGUGUGUGUUUGGUAUGUUUUUAAUGAGGAAACAUUGACCAGCCAUUCUUAUAGAUACUUUACAACUUUUAAUCAUCUUUAAAAUUUUUUUCCAAAUCUGAGUUUUUCUUUUUCACAUUUUUUAGUUGAAUCCAAAAGUACAUCUUCAUAAAUUCUGAAGCGUUAGAUACAGAGGGAUUUUAGUAAUAACUUGCAAGAUUUUAUAGAAUUGCUUACAGUUUUUGAUUCUAUGAUUCCAUGACUGCCUUACAGUGUGAAAGAGUAAUAAUAAUUUAGUAAGUAAAUAUGAAGAGCAAAUAUUAUGUGUCUUCCUGGCAGGAAGCAGCAGAAACUUUCUAAAUUACUUCAAAAGAGAUACCUUAAAAGAUUACUUACAAAAGUUUGGGCAAGGUUAAGGGAAAUCAACAACUGUAAGGUGGUUGCCCCGCAAGAUCUUUGGCCUUGGAAGAGGAAUGCAGCUACAGCAAGACCCCAUCUGACAGAGGAGAGGUGGAGGGAGAGAGCCUGCCGUCUCUCUCCCUCCCAGCUUCUACCCUUUCGGAAAAUUAGCUGAACUCAUCAGGACACCAGGAGGGCAGGAGGGAAGGGCACUCACUUACUGUGUUCUUCGGCAACUGAGCCCCACAAAGGAAGAUGGAAAAGAGCAGGGAGUAGUUUUAGAGGGUCAAAUAGAAAAUAUUUGGCACACCUUAAAAAGAGAGUUGUCAGCUACCAUUCUUAAAUAUGUAAUAUGUUCCAGGCACAGUGCUAAGCUC
rnacentral:lncRNA from 1 species